rfam:Schistosoma margrebowiei strain Zambia genome assembly, scaffold: SMRZ_scaffold0000123
GCACUGCUGAGGAGUCCCAUACUAGGACGAAACGGCCGUCCAGUGC